AGAGCGAACGCUGGCGGCAGGCCUAACACAUGCAAGUCGAGCGCCCGUAGCAAUACGGGAGCGGCAGACGGGAUAGUAACACGUGGGAACGCGCCCUUCGGUUCGGAAUAACUCAGGGAAACUUGAGCUAAUACCGGAUACGCCCUUACGGGGAAAGAUUUAUUGCCGAAGGAACGGCCCGCGUCCGAUUAGCUAGUUGGUGAGGUAAUGGCUCACCAAGGCGACGAUCGGUAGCUGGUCUGAGAGGACGACCAGCCACACUGGAACUGAGACACGGUCCAGACACCUACGGGUGGCAGCAGUCGAGAAUUUUUCUCAAUGGGCGAAAGCCUGAAGGAGCGACGCCGCGUGGGGGAUGAAUGGCUUCGGCCCGUAAACCCCUGUCAUUUGUGAACAAAUUGUUCAUCUAACACAUGAAAUAUUGAUAGUAACGGAAGAGGAAGGGACGGCUAACUCUGUGCCAGCAGCCGC
rnacentral:rRNA from 1 species